GGACUUAUAGCCGUCUAAGGCAUUGGCCAGAUAAGCCAAUGAUGCGGGUUCGAAUCCCGCCCG
rnacentral:tRNA from 1 species